CCUACGGGUGGCAGCAGUGGGGAAUAUUGCGCAAUGGGCGAAAGCCUGACGCAGCGACGCCGCGUGAGGGAUGAAGGUUCUCGGAUUGUAAACCUCUGUCAGAAGGGAAGAAAUUAUAUCAUGCUAAUCAGUGGUGUAUUGACGGUACCUUCAAAGGAAGCACCGGCUAACUCCGUGCCAGCAGCCGCGGUAAUACGGAGGGUGCGAGCGUUAAUCGGAUUUACUGGGCGUAAAGCGCACGUAGGCUGUAUGAUAAGUCAAGGGUGAAAUACCGCGGCUCAACCGUGGAGCUGCCUUUGAGACUGUCGAACUGGAGUAUGGAGGAGGGCGGCGGAAUGCCUGGUGUAGGAGUGAAAUGCGUAGAUAUCAGAAGGAACAUCGGUGGCGAAGGCAGCCGCCUAGCACAAAACUGACGCUGAGGUGCGAAAGCGUGGGUAGCAAACAGGAUUAGAUACCCCAGUAGUC
rnacentral:rRNA from 1 species